UACGAAGGGGGCUAGCGUUGGUCGGAAUGACUGGGCGUAAAGCGCACGUAGGCGGAUAUUUAAGUCAGGGGUGAAAUCCCGCAGCUCAACUGCGGAACUGCCUUUGAUACUGGGUAUCUUGAGUAUGGAAGAGGUAAGUGGAAUUCCGAGUGUAGAGGUGAAAUUCGUAGAUAUUCGGAGGAACACCAGUGGCGAAGGCGGCUUACUGGUCCAUUAUUGACGUUGAGGUGCGAAAGCGUCGGGAGCAAACAGG
rnacentral:rRNA from 1 species